ACAUUUUACUAUUUCUCCCAUUAAAUGGUUCAAAAAUAUAUCCUGAAUGUGCCAAACAAAGGUCCCCCAGUUAGUGGAUAUAAAGGUUAUCGCCAAGAAUAAUCCCACCAAAGAUCUCGGCGUCCGUGAGGUUGGAAGUGUGGGGGAAGAAGCUGACACCUUCCAAGCCUUCAGAAGUGAAACUGGGGAAUGAUGGAGACAUCACUGUCUCAGUUCAUUGUUGGGAGACUGCAAAAGCACAAAACACAGCCAAUUUGAUGGCAUGAAUGCUGGCAAUGGAACAUUUUAGUGUUGAUGCUCUCCUGAAGGCCAACCUUACUGGAGGGAUCAAUAAGAACGAUCCUACAGCAGAGCGAUGGCAGGCUCUUGAUGGGGAGGAAAAAUCUUCAAGCUUUACUUGAUGCUGUUGUAAACCACCAUCCAGGGACCAAGAUAUAAGAAAAUCGGUCAACACAAGAAUCUGAAUUAAGGCACCAAGUAAAGCAAAAACAAGAUGGACUGUUUAACAUAACCGACUAAAUAUAUGGGCCAGGCAGCACGGUGGCACAGUGGUUAGCGCCGUUGCCUCACAGCGCGAAGGUUC